rnacentral:rRNA from 1 species
AUUGAACGCUGGCGGCAGGCCUAACACAUGCAAGUCGAACGAGUGGCGGACGGGUGAGUAAUGUAUGGGAAACUGCCUGAUGGCGGGGGAUAACUAAUGGAAACGGUAGCUAAUACCGCAUACCAUCAGAUGUGCCCAGAUGGGAUUAGCUAGUUGGUGGGGUAACGGCUCACCAAGGCGACGAUCCCUAGCUGGUAUGAGAGGAUGCCCAGCCACACGGUAACUGAUACACGGUCCAGACUCCUACGGGAGGCAGCAGUGGGGAAUAGUGCACAAUGGGCGCAAUCCUGAUGCAGCCAUGCCGCGUGUAUGAAGAAGGCCUUCGGGUUGUAAAGUACUUUCAGCGGGGAGGCGUUACCCGCAGAAGAAGCACCGGCUAACUCCGUGCCAGCCGCCGCGGUAAUUC